rnacentral:lncRNA from 1 species
CAGGGCUGACUAUGGCCACUAGACAGGAAUCAGCCUUUCACUGGUCAUUUAAAGACUACUUCUCACUGAGAGGCAGAAGGAAUCAUUCCAGCCAUCAUUGUCUGGAUCCUCUGAACAACCUCCAGCAGCAUCAUGACCUUUACCAACAUCCGAGGUGAUUCUCAGCUCUAAGUAUUUUUUAUUUAUUUGAAUCUUCAGGAUAAAAGAGGGAAAGCUUUGGGGUUCUUCUCCAGGUUGACAUUCUGACUCCACCUCUUAACAGACAAGUGAUUUUGAGAAAAUUACUUCACAAGUCUUCAACCUCAGUUUCAUGGUUUUAAAACUAGAAGCAAUGCUACUACCUAGGGGAAAUUUGUUUUAACAAUUACAAGCAAAAAUAUGCACAAGGAACCUGGGACAGGUGCCGAGCACUCUUCACUCUGCAAUGAUCACCCAGAAGACAACAGAGUGAUGCUUCUCUCCACCUGCUGUAUGAGGACAGCCUGGGCAAUGGGGACAUCGGUAUGAGCUGUCUAUCAGUCCUAGCUCCCUCCAUCUGGACCCAAUGUAGAUUGCUGCUGCUUCAGCUGACCAGAUUCCUUUCGAUUAACACAGACUUUCUUGAGAUAUGUUAACAUACCCUUUGCAUCCCACUUAAGUUUGGAAGACAUUUCCUCUAUUAUAAAUGAUAUGAAAAUGUCUGAGAGUUUAGGUGCAUAUUUUGAAGUCUAACUCAAAACAGUGAUUGUAUUUUCCCUGUACACAAAUUCUUCAUGUACACCCAUUGGUGUUCUGCAGACAGCUUAUACUAGUUCAGGGGAGCUGCUUGCUAAAUAUUCAGAAAUUUUGUGAAUUGGCUGUGAAACAUAGUUGUUAUUAAAAGAUAAAUUACACAAACUUACAACUGAUGAAUCAUAUUAAAAACAAAGACAAUACUCAACUCAUGAUUUUCUGUCCUUUGACUGCAUUUCACAAAUGUCUGUGAUCUUGAGAUUGUUUAUAUCUAUUGUAACUGCAAGUGCUGUGCUACUGCACACUUCUGCUCAGGUCCACCUUCAGGAACUGCAUGGUGGUACGGUAAGAUUGGCCAUGGUGCGAUUAUUCACACCACAGAAACUAUACACUGUUAUUAUACAAAUCAUGGCCUGAUGUAUUGUUUUAUCGAUUCUCUGGACUGAAGAAAGCGAUGGAGAAAAUACUAGUAAUAUAGAUUUAAACUUAAAAGUGUGUCAUGUUGCUUCCAUUACAUUGUAACACACACACACACACACACACACACACAAUUUAGGAAAUAUUCUACUAGUAUUCUAAAGCUAUUAUUUGACUCGCCAAAGAAGCAGCUUCCAUCAUUGACAAACAAGCAAAGCUUUAGCAUAUGCCUUCAUUGUUUCACUUUUGUCUUACUCACUGAUGUAAAUGAAAAUACUGACUGGUACUUGUGUUUAUAUGCUUUCAACAAUUGUUAACUGUAGGUUGACUAUGAAUGCCAGGAUUUGGAAAAAAAAUCAAUGAAUACAUUCUGUGAGAAUAAAAUGCCCAUGUGGAAUGUACAGUAAGAAUAGCAUGCAUUUUUACUAUUAUUUGUAAAUUGCUCUGCAUCCUCUAUGCCAGUAAAUUUAUAAUAAGCUUGUAUCUAGACACAUUCACAUUUUUUUGGAGACCUUGUUAUUAAACAUUACCAUUAAAACACUAGGGACACUAAAAACCUGUGCCUAUGUGUUUACAUGUAUUAUAAUCAGUGAUUUUUAUUUUUUAUAUCAUUAAGGUCUUUACCAAUAUUCUGCCAA